CCGGAUCUGAAAAGGCUGACUCAUGAUUUUACACUCCGCGCGGAGGUUGGCGUCAUGCCUGGCAACGAGCUGUCAGAAUGAUUCAAUCAUAGGCUCCUUCUUGACAAGGUUACAUGCAGAUGGGAUGCAGUUCUUUGGAGAAGAGGCCAACCUGUGAUAUGGGGGAGAUAUCGGGUUCGCUCAGCCUCGUACAUAUCAACCAGGGUAAGCCAGAGAUGUCUGACCAUGCAUGUGGAUAUCACCUGUCACCUUCGUUGCUCGUAGAUCAAGAUCCAAGUCGGCUCUUGGAGGAGUCCUGAAUAGUCCCUACCCACACAGAAGGAUGCCAAUAACAUGCAGUGAGGCGGCAGCAUGCUCCACAGCUCUAUAGGUCUUUGAAAACCUACAGGCAUUGGUGAAAAACUACAGGCAACCCAGUGCACCCUUGGCCGUGGCUUCUGUGAGGGCAGAGAAGGCGGAAGAGGCCACUGAGCAGUCGCAAAAAGUCAAAGGGGACUCAUUCGGAACCGUGUGGACUGUGGAUAUUUCGUCGAUUUAGUUCCACACCUGCCAUCUUAGGUCACUCUGGUCAUCAGCCGAAGUAUUAUCUCGCGUGGAGAAAAAUGGAUUGGGUGUGGAUGAGGGGACUCUCACUCUAUGGAGCUCAUCGAUUCUUGACCGUUACGUUGCAAUGGUCAUGUUCCCACUGGGAAUGUGACGCAUCCACGAAUGCUGUCUGAACGUGAUCAAAGCCCAAACAUGUCAAA